rnacentral:lncRNA from 1 species
AAAUUAUCUGUCUCCAUUCACAGGUAUUUUGACUCAGGGGCCCAAAUAUGGCCUAGGAGUCUGCAUUUGCAUUUUGCAUUUCUCAUAAUUCGGAUGCUGGAGGUCCACGUUUAGAAACAGUGGGACUUUAGCAAAAUAGAUAGAUUACAUGUAAACCGUAAGAAGAAAGAAUCCAAGGAAUACAUUUACUGCUUGUUUUUCCCUUCAUUGAUUUCAGAUAUAUAAUCCCAAACUCAAUACAGUCUACUUGUUUUUGACCAGAGGUAGAGUGACUGCAGGGCUUAUUAGAUGAGUGAGAUCUGAAAGCUGAAAUGAAACCAACUGGCUACUUAAUUCAGUUAUUCAUCUACUCCAGGCAAGGAGCAUUCAUUCACUUCCUUUCUUUUCUUUCAUUCAAGAACGUAGUCACCUAUACUUUAUGAAUGAAAGCCAGCAGCCUUUCACAGCUAGACAAAUAAUGCCAGCUUUGGACAACCAGACAAUGUCUCCUCUGUAUUGAUGUCUCUAAAUCACGCCCUGAGUACCCACUGCUGUUAUUCUCUCUGAAAGAAACCAAACCAAAGUUUUGGAAUUGCAAAGACUGAGAGUGGGAAUUCUAUGGGCUACUAAAGAGAAAAAGAACAAGUCUAAGAUGACGAAUAUAAUACAAUGUAAUACAACACAAUAUAAUAAAAUAUCCAUCCAUAUAUGUGUAUACAUGUUUUAAUAUUUCAUGAUGUAAACUUGUGACUUUUAAGAAAUAUUAUGGUAUAAUAUUUUUAUGAGAGAAACAGGUGGAAGAAAAACUCCAUGCUAUUAAUAUUGUUUUUUUUAAUCCUAAUUGGGGGAUUGGGGAUGUAGGAAAUUAUUACUGCUUUUCCUAUCUUUGUAACAUUUUUCCUAAGGUAGAAUUCAUAUUUUUGUAUUAAAAUUUUUAAUAAUAGAAUAUUAUAUAAUAAUUACAAGGAAGAGGUCUCAGGCAUGUCAAAGUUAAAGGAAGAGCCCAAGUUCAAAGUAGAUACACUUCCUAGAGAAGAUGUGUUUUUGUUUUGUUUUGUUUGCAAUUUCACUUGAAAUCUGGGUUGCCUUGGCUUCCUUUAAUUUAAGAUUUUAUUACCAAUGAUUGUGUAGGACCUGGAUUUUAUUAAAGAAAAGAUUUUACUAUGAAUGAAUAAUUCAAAUAAGGAAAUGGUGCAGACCAGGCUUAAGGACAUAAUGCAGAGGCUGACUGUUUUGAAUGUGUCAGAGCUAACCCCUGAAGUCUUCUGGAGAAUACAUAGACAACUGAAAUUGCUUCCUUUGACAACCCAUUCGGCUGCCCUAGGGUAGAGGCCCCAGACUGGCCUUUUUGCUAGCUUCCAGCUAAGUAAUGUUUUACCCAGAGCAUGAAAAUCUAAGUUUGUGUUCCAAAGUGACUUAGUUUUUCUGUUUUCCUUCUUCCUUUUCUUAUAUGUAAAUCCUGUGAGGUUUUGUUUUUUGCCUUGAUUAGAGGAAAUCAACCUAUUAUUAUUUUUCACUAUAUACAAAUAAACAGUAUGCUAAUAAUUUUACUGUAUGUUCUUGAAUUAUUUUUUGUUAUCCUGGAGAUUCUGCUGUGAUAUAGCCCUUCAGAAAAAUGUGCAGAUUCAAGGGCACCUGGUCUGAAUCUGGUCUGUACCUGGUCCUCUUGGAUCCUUGGCUCAUCUCUUGGCUCCUGUGGUAAGUCUUGGGUGGCAACUGAGCUCUUUGGCUCUCACACGCUAAAUCUGAUUCUUGGUUACAUCUGUUUCUGAUUCUGAUUCUUGGUCUGCUUGAACAGAGCUGAUUUAAUCCAUCAUGGUGGGAACUAUGGUGGAACCUGGGUUUUCAUCUUAUGGCCAGACCGUUGAAUGACUUCUGUUAAUUGGCAGCUGACAGGAAAUAUGAAAUCUAGUGUCUGUUAACUUUUUGUUAUUUGGCUGAGAAUUCUGAUGGUUCUUGGUCCUUGAUAAUAUAGAGUCAUAAAGUUUUUGGAGUUUUUCUUACUAUUGGUAGAAUUCUCUGUGUUUACAUGUUUUGGUUUGUAUGAAUUUGAUGUCCUCUAUCUGAUUCUAAAGCUCAGAGACUUUUUCCUUAUUCCAAAAUUAAGUUUUCAUGUACAUUUAUUCUAAACCCAAUAGUGCCAAUAUCUGUA